AACAACAACGCGGAAAAGAGAAAGAGAAAGAGAGAGAUAGGCGAGACAAAAAAAAAGAAAGAACAGAAAGCAGUUAAUUGACCUGCCAUUUUCAUCGCCUUCUCCAAAAAUUUCUCCCGAUCUAUGUAAUUAAUCUGGUAAUUCCUCUACUGACACGGUGAGUCACUGGUAUCUGAUUUGGUCCUUUUAAUCUAUUUGGUGAAUUUUUGGAUUUUACGCCUGCGGUUCGGCUUUUUAUAUGGUUUUCUAUUCUGGGUUGGUUUUGUUUGUUGAUCGUUUCAAAAUUUGAGUUUUUUUGUUGUCUGAUCUAUUUUUCCUUCUAGGUUUGUUCUUGAUUGAAUUUUGGGAACUAGGACAAUGUAGCUAGUUUUUAUUUUUUUUCGUUGGUUUUUUGUUGUGUUAUUUUCUAUCAUUCUAAAAAUUAUUGAAACUGUUAGAGGUUGGAUAUAUUUUUUUUAAUGCCAAAUUCACCAAAACAGAAUGUUUUAAUCAAAGAAACAAUUUUGUAUCAUUGUUCCUUCUCUUUUUUUUUUUUUUUCACCAUUGUUUUCUUAGGCAGUGGACCCUUGUGUCUUUUUGUGCAUGCCCAUUUCCAGCAGUAACAAUCUUUUGGAUCUAAUAUGGGUCUGAAAAACAUUGAAACAGUUGCCAUGAUAUCAUCUUAUAAUUCGAUUAGAUGAUCAGAUGCCUUGUAUUGUAUCUAAAAUUUCACUUUUUAUUUCCAGCUUCUCUCAUUGGUGUUCUUAAGACCAAUAUGAAUUGUAAUACAAUGAUACUCUCUAAUUAUAUCAUGUGAAAGUUUUUAUCCAUUCAAUGUGUAUUGUUACUAUUUUCCUGAAAUAUUUGCUUGUUAAGACUUGUUACAUUUUAAAUUGAUUUUUGAGAUUUACAUCAGAUGCUGAUUUGUGAUUAUAUCUGCCUUAUUUAUUGAAUUUGUUGUAGAUUUCGAAUAUAUGGAAAAAAUUCCUAUAAAGGGGGGCAAUGAAUACCUUGUGUACACAAGUCUUAUAAAGGUACGAAUUCAUAUUCCCUUUAUUCUAUUGUAAGUAGUUCAUGAAAGUUUUUUGUUGCUUUGUUGCCUUAUUUAUAAAUAUGUGUAUGUAUUUAUGCAUAUAUUAGAAAAAUAAUGGGGGGGAGAGAUAUUGGACAGUUAAUAACUAGGCCGUCUGAUCUGCUUGUUUCUUUAACUAUGUUUAUAUAGGUUAUUUCAAAAGGACAAGGAAGAGAAACACACUGCGACCACAUUGUGAAUGUAAGUUCUUUUGUUGAUAUGUUGUCAUUGAGUUGCUGUAAUUUUUCAAACGGUUGAAGCAUUUUUCAUUUUACUGUUAAUGGUAUAUUCUAACCAAUUUGAUCAACAGAGUUAAAUGUUUGAACUUGACUCAGAAAAACUUAAAAUAAGGCUAAUUUUUAUAGAGUUUUAUUCUUCAAAUUUGAUAGUGAUUUUAAAAGUUAGUGAGCUAUUCAAUUAGCCUCAUAUCAUUAAAGAUAAAAUCUAGCUCAAACACUUGGUGAUAGAGAGAUUUGUUAUUAAGUCAACAGACAAUAAGCAUGAAUUUGCAUUUGAUAUUGAUUCUGCAUUUGCUUAAAAAGAGAAGAAGCAUGAAUCUGCUUUUAUUAGGUUUUUGAAGUUGUAAUAUAUUAUUUUGUAGUAAUUUUACAACUGAUGAGAUUUUACGCGAUAGAAGAUGGCACAAAAGGUCCAUUAGUAAGACACUGGGAUAAUGUGGUUUAAAACUAAAAUAUUGUUGGUUGAAUGAAAUAAAUUUAUUUAAAUUACUAAAUAUUCCUAAAGUUUUAAUUUGGAAUAUUAUAUUAAGAGGUAAUUAAAAUGAUUAAUUGGCUAUGUCACUCAAACUCAUGUUAAGCGUGGAAUACAAUUAUGUAUCUAGAAUGGGUAUACUCAAAUUUAAAAAAAAAUUAAAACUGUGAGAUGAAUUAACUAGGCCUAUAGUAAAAUAAAUUUUAUUGAUAAAAUAGUACAAAAUUAAAUAAUUGUGUUAAUUAAUUUUGACUAUACUGGUGGGACCUUUUCUUUUAAAGAGAACAAUAUUUUAUUUCAUUUUUCAAUUAAAUUAAAUCCUUAUAAUAUGAGUCUUAUUUUAAAAUUUUGAUAAUCUGACUCAUUAAAUUAAUUAGUUGAAAAUCAAAAUAAUCUUUUAAUUAUAUAUAAAAAUGUGUUAGAUCAAUUAUUGAUUUUAUUAAUUUUUAAAAAAAUAUAAUUUAAUCUAAAUUGUAGGUGUAAAAUGUAACGCCCCAAAAUUUCUAUUUUCGUUAUUGUGAAAAUAUGAGACAAAUAUCUAUUAGCUUUAAUGGUUAUGUGUUCUGGGAGUGCUUGGUAGGUCCCAAGUUCAAGCUUUCGCUUGGGUAAAUUUUGGUAUUUUGAAUGAAUUAGGCAUUACUCUUGUUAAGUAGGCUUUUAUUUGAUUGUUGGGUAAAUUACAUUAGAAUGGGUCUGUUGGUCUAGUGGUUAAAUAGUGUAUUAUUAUGGUGGAGGUAUUGUGUUUGAAUCCUUAGGCAAGAGUAUUAUUUUUUGCUCAGAUUUCGGGAUAGAGUUGUGUAAUAGGGGGAUUCUGAGUAGUGGAUGUGUAGUGGGAAUUAGGUGAGAAGAUUAAAGGAUUUUGGGGGUUAUCGGGAUUUUAUUUUAUUUUUUCCCAUAACCGAAUUUUGACUCUUUUUUCCAAAACAAAUUAUGUCGUCUACUCUUCUCCCUCUCCUCUUGACGAAAUUCUUUGAGUUUUUCGAUCUUUCUCUUCUUUUUCUUCCUCUUGAUUUUUCCCGAAUCCAUUUAUUUUCCUUCAUUUUCGCACGCGGUUAGUGUUUCUCUUCGUUUCUGUCAUGAAUCUCUUAAUGACUGAAGUGGUAAUGUUUUUUCUCGGGGAUUUGGGCAUAUGGGGAGGCUCGAACUGGUGAAUUU
rnacentral:lncRNA from 1 species